UAAACCAACAUACUUAAAACUGUUGAAAAAUAAUGUUUACUUGUAACAGCUGCUGUCCUUUAUAAACAGUUUCAAUUCAGAAUUUUUGUUUUUCGCAAUGAUCCUAAUUUUUUGUGGGGGGGGGGGCUUUCAGCCCAUCGGCUACUGGGACAUGAUUGGCAUCGGGUUACGGUGAUGUCAUUUACGGUUAAAAACAGCGUCUGUUGUUUGCUACGGCUGUGUUAAACCCCCUUUGAUAUACUAAACCUUGGGCGAGCAUUAUCACUACUGUAUGCCACUAGUUAACGAAAACAAUUUUAAAAUUUUCCAUUUUUUUUAAAUUUACAAAGGGUAUUUUACAAAUUUACAAUCUGGUUUUUCAUUCACUUUAAGCUGACGCACCACAGACGAGGUAUGACUUCCAAAUACUCAAAUAUUCUCGCUGCAGCACAGACAAAGAAACAUCACCUAAGGAGGACAUGCACACAAUGCAUCACAAUGCAGCAGCAUUGAAUGUGCAGCGGUAAAACAGACAACCCAGUCCCUUGUUUGCAGUUUGCAAUAAAAUAUUCCUGUGCACCUUCGCUAAAGAGGGCUGCUUUCUUAAGACAAUUUUCCCAGCACUGAUUUAUUUCUUUAAUUAAUUAAAAUUAAUUUAAUUAAUUUUCUGUAGCAUCCUCCUCUUUUGUUAAACCCACUAAGUUUCCUAUUGGAAAAGAUGGCAAAGUGCUACAGAAGUGUUACUUUGAGCUUGUUAACACUGCAUGGAGGAUUGGCAUGGACUGAGCCAAGUGAUAUUUUUUAAAAAGUCUGGCCUAAUAAGGGGACUCAACAAAUCCUUUCGACAGUGACCAAAGACCAUCAAUACGAUCUUUUCCCACAGAAUGAAAUUAUUUUUAAGACAGGACGAGACAAAGUCCCUCUUUCUUGUUUCUCUCACAAUGUCUUCUGCUUUCCCCCCAGAAACCUGCUGAACUCAAAACUGUUUGCUGCAGAGGCGAGCAUUUCUAUUUGUGUCAUUAGUUUUGUUUGUGCACGUCAGAGUGGCGACUGCAGUGAAACUGAACCAACCGAAUGCAGGCUUGACGAUAUCCUAGUAGGAGAGAGUCAAAUGGAAUCGGAAAAUAAAGUGGGUUUUGUGGGUGAGUUGUGAUUGUUUACUUACAUUUCGCCAGAAAGACUUUUUGAAAUGUGCACCUGAUCGCCAUUGCCUCGUGUUCAGAGCAGCUGCAAUUUACGAAAGCAGACAGCUGGCUGACGGACUGGUCAGUCUGCAGGGUCAAGAUGGCAGUCUACCCCAUGUAGCAGACAGACAAGUCAAAGUGUUCAAAGUGAAGUCUCCAGUGCUUUUAUCAAAGAAGCAGUGGAUUUCCGGUCAAACAAACUUCUGACUUUUUCAAAUUCAAAGAGAAACAUUUGUCCGCACAGCUUGACGAAUCUAGCUGAAGGAGAAGAUGUUUUGGCUUCAGCGCAAACACACAGCCCAAGUCAUGAAACUACACAAAGUGUCUUUUAUCGAGCUCCUGGAUUCCUGACAUGUCUUCAAGAGCGUCUGGAAUUCAUUGUGUUUGUGUCAAAGUGCUGACAGUUUUCCGAGGAGAAAGCUAAUGUGAACAAACAGAAUUAUUGAAUAAAACUGUUUUUAAUUCAAGUGAAUUAUUCUGCAUAUUUUUAUGUGUUGGACUGGUUGCAUGUGUGUGUGAGAGCUUUGCCUGUAGGCUUGUCUCCAAGACAGAUCUGCUGGAAAACAAUGAAGCCCAUUCAAGGAAGAACCUCCUUCCUCUAAUAUAGCGUAUCAUCAUGAUAUGGUGAGGCAGUUUGUGGAUUACCCAUCAUGCUCACACUGAAAAACCGUUGCAUUGGUAUGAAACCAUCGGGCAAAAAAGUGUCAGUAUAUCAUAAAGCCAUCUUUUUCCUUGCUUCAAAUAUUUUCGUAAUUUAAAUACAGCUUAAUUGAUAAAAGAAACAUAUUAGUUUGCUUAAAGAUUCAAAUCAUAAACAUAUAUACACUGGAGGGAUAAUCUCUAAUGUCACCCACAGGAUCUUAAUCAUCAAAAAUAAAGCCUGAAGUGGUUGAUCCAACUCAAAAACCCAUCGCCAGAAAUAUUGAAUUUUUUCAACUUUAAACAGAAAAGAAAAACAUUAGAAUAAAACUGAUAGAGGGAUGCAAAGAUAAGUAAAAUUAAAACUAACCAUAUUCACUACUGUAAUUAUUUACAACCAAUUUUCCAUUCAAAGAGUGUAUAGGAUAUUUUCAAUGGAAUAGCUUUUUUACAUAACACAAUUUGUUCCAAUUAACUGUUACUGUGAUUUCCAAAUAACUUAACUUUAGUUUAUUUUUAGUUUAAGUAAUUUUUCUUUGAGAAGAACCAAAAA